GACGAACGCUGGCGGCGUGCCUAAUACAUGCAAGUAGAACGCUGAAGAGAGGAGCUUGCUCUUCUUGGAUGAGUUGCGAACGGGUGAGUAACGCGUAGGUAACCUGCCUUGUAGCGGGGGAUAACUAUUGGAAACGAUAGCUAAUACCGCAUAACAAUGGAUGACACAUGUCAUUUAUUUGAAAGGGGCAAUUGCUCCACUACAAGAUGGACCUGCGUUGUAUUAGCUAGUAGGUGAGGUAACGGCUCACCCAGGCGACGAUACAUAGCCGACCUGAGAGGGUGAUCGGCCACACUGGGACUGAGACACGGCCCAGACUCCUACGGGAGGCAGCAGUAGGGAAUCUUCGGCAAUGGGGGCAACCCUGACCGAGCAACGCCGCGUGAGUGAAGAAGGUUUUCGGAUCGUAAAGCUCUGUUGUAAGUCAAGAACGAGUGUGAGAGUGGAAAGUUCACACUGUGACGGUAGCUUACCAGAAAGGGACGGCUAACUACGUG
rnacentral:rRNA from 1 species